rnacentral:rRNA from 1 species
AACGAACGCUGGCGGCAGGCCUAACACAUGCAAGUCGAGCGAGACCUUCGGGUCUAGCGGCGGACGGGUGAGUAACGCGUGGGAAUAUGCCCUUUGGUACGGAAUAGCCUCGGGAAGCUGAGAGUAAUACCGUAUGUGCCCUUCGGGGGAAAGAUUUGUCGCCAAAGGAUUAGCCCGCGUUGGAUUAGGUAGUUGGUGGGGUAAUGGCCUACCAAGCCUACGAUCCAUAGCUGGUUUGAGAGGAUGAUCAGCCACACUGGGACUGAGACACGGCCCAGACUCCUACGGGAGGCAGCAGUGGGGAAUCUUAGACAAUGGGGGCAACCCUGAUCUAGCCAUGCCGCGUGAGUGAUGAAGGCCUUAGGGUUGUAAAGCUCUUUCAGCUGGGAAGAUAAUGACGGUACCAGCAGAAGAAGCCCCGGCUAACUCCGUGCCAGCCGCCGCGGUAAAAC